AGAACGAACGCUGGCGGCAUGCCUAACACAUGCAAGUCGAACGCUUUUGGGGCUUCGGUCCCAAAGGAGUGGCGCACGGGUGAGUAGCGCGUGGGAACCUGCCCUGUUGUGGGGGAUAACCGAGGGAAACUUCGGCUAAUACCGCAUACGCCCGGGGGAAACUCUGGGGAAAGAUUUAUCGCAGCAGGAGGGGCCCGCGUCGGAUUAGGUAGUUGGUGGGGUAACGGCCCACCAAGCCUGUGAUCCGUAGCUGGUCUGAGAGGAUGAUCAGCCACACUGGGACUGAGACACGGCCCAGACUCCUACGGGAGGCAGCAGUGGGGAAUAUUGGACAAUGGGCGCAAGCCUGAUCCAGCAAUGCCGCGUGAGUGAUGAAGGCCUUCGGGUUGUAAAGCUCUUUCGCACGCGACGAUGAUGACGGUAGCGUGAGAAGAAGCCCCGGCUAACUUCGUGCCAGCAGCCGCGGU
rnacentral:rRNA from 1 species